rnacentral:rRNA from 1 species
AACGAACGCUGGCGGCAGGCUUAACACAUGCAAGUCGAGCGCCCCGCCAGGGGUUCGGCCGACGGGUGAGUAACGCGAGGGAACGUACAUCUUGGUUCGGAACAACUCCGGGAUACUGGAGAACAUACCGGAUAAGUCCUAAAGGGGAAAGAUUUAUCGUCGAAAGUGCGGUCCGCGUCUGAUUAGUUAGUUGGUGAGGUGACGGCUCACCAAGGCGACGCUCGGUAGCUGGUCUGAGAGGAUGAACGGCCACACCGGGACUGGGACACGGCCCUGACUCCUACGGGAGGCAGGAGUGGGGAAUAUUGGACAAUGGGCGCAAGCCUGAUCCAGCCAUGCCGCGUGAGUGAUGAAGGCGUUAGGGUUGUAAAGCUCGUUUGUCCGGGAAGAUAAUGAGUUUACCGGAAGAAGAAGCCCCGGCUAACUUCGUG